AGAGUUUGAUCCUGGCUCAGAUUGAACGCUGGCGGCAGGCCUAACACAAUGCAAGUCGAGCGGAAACGAUCCUAGCUUGCUAGGAGGCGUCGAGCGGCGGACGGGUGAGUAAUGCAUAGGAAUCUACCCAGUCGUGGGGGAUAACCUGAGGAAACUCAGGCUAAUACCGCAUACGUCCUACGGGAGAAAGCGGGGGCUCUUCGGACCUCGCGCGAUUGGAUGAGCCUAUGUCGGAUUAGCUAGUUGGUAAGGUAACGGCUUACCAAGGCGACGAUCCGUAGGGCUGGUCUGAGAGGAUGAUCAGCCACACCGGGACUGAGACACGGCCCGGACUCCUACGGGAGGCAGCAGUGUUGGGAAUAUUGGACAAUGGGCGCAAGCCUGAUCCAGCCAUGCCGCGUGUGUGAAGAAGGCUUUCGGGUUGUAAAGCACUUUCAGUGGGGAAGAAGGCUUGUCGGCCAAUACCCGGCAAGAGCGACAUCACCCACAGAAGAAUUGCACCGGCUAACUCCGUGCCAGCAGCCGCGGUAAUACGGAGGGUGCAAGCGUUAAUCGGAAUUACUGGGCGGGUAAAGCGCGCGUAGGCGGCGUGUCACGCCGGGUGUGAAAGCCCCGGGCUCAACCUGGGAACGGCAUCCGGAACGGGCAGGCUAGAGUGCAGGAGAGGAAGGUAGAAUUCCCGGUGUAGCGGUGAAAUGCGUAGAGAUCGGGAGGAAUACCAGUGGCGAAGGCGGCCUUCUGGCCUGACACUGACGCUGAGGUGCGAAAGCGUGGGUAGCAAACAGGAUUAGAUACCCUGGUAGUCCACGCCGUAAACGAUGUCGACUAGCCGUUGGGUCCCUUGAGGACUUAGUGGCGCAGUUAACGCGAUAAGUCGACCGCCUGGGGAGUACGGCCGCAAGGUUAAAACUCAAAUGAAUUGACGGGGGCCCGCACAAGCGGUGGAGCAUGUGGUUUAAUUCGAUGCAACGCGAAGAACCUUACCUACCCUUGACAUCCUGCGAACCCGGAAGAGAUUCCGGGGUGCCUUCGGGAGCGCAGAGACAGGUGCUGCAUGGCUGUCGUCAGCUCGUGUUGUGAAAUGUUGGGU
rnacentral:rRNA from 1 species